GGAAGCAGGACGCACCUCAUCUAACUAAGGCCACAGAAUCAAUCGAGUUAUACAGAGUACAAUGAAAAUCAAUAUUCAGACACACGUUUGGAGCUAGUGACAAGACACGAACGACUCAGGAAUAUUACGUUACAAGUUUGCGAUCACUGCGUAUCCAUGGCCCUUUCCUGAUCGGCAAAGCGAACAGAUAAGGACAUACUGGGAAGCGGUUCAAGCCACAUACGACGCCGCUCGGGCGGAUUUAUA